rnacentral:misc_RNA from 1 species
UUAUAGCUCCAAGCUCUUCCCCACAAGAUCCAAAUCCUUACAGCGAAAGUGUCAUUGGUGGAGAUGAAGAUUAUGUUGUUAUUGAAUUGGGUAAUCAUAAUUCAUCAAUCUGUCCUGUGCUGCAAGCAAUGUUUGAUCUCAGGGGAGUUAUCAGUACGUUCGAUUAGCCCUUCACCAAGGAGGAAACUAGAGCAGAGAGGAUCAGCUCUUCACAAGA